GGGCUUCACAGCUUGCUCGUGAUUUUUGAACUUGGGCUCUUGUUUGUGGUGGUAUCUGGUAACUGGGCUGGGCUAGGUAUUCCCGCCAUUCUUCUAAAGACGUUAGAAAGCAUUAUGAGGAAUGGGCAUUUGGGUUUGCUUUGAUCAUCACACAGCAACUAUUCAAACUGGCAAUGGCUACUUGUGUCGAAUGGCCCGUAAGCCUUUGUGGUUAAAUUGAUGGAAUUUAU
rnacentral:misc_RNA from 1 species